rnacentral:rRNA from 1 species
AUUGAACGCUGGCGGCGUGCCUAACACAUGCAAGUCGAGCGGCAGCGCGGGAGCAAUCCUGGCGGCGAGCGGCGGACGGGUGAGUAAUGCUUGGGAAUCUGCCUGUUAGUGGGGGACAACCCGGGGAAACUCGGGCUAAUACCGCAUACGCACUACGGUGGAAAGCCGGGGACCGCAAGGCCUGGCGCUAACAGAUGAGCCCAAGUCGGAUUAGCUAGUUGGUAGGGUAACGGCCACCAAGGCGACGAUCCGUAACUGGUCUGAGAGGACGACCAGUCACACCGGAACUGAGACACGGUCCGGACUCCUACGGGAGGCAGCAGUGGGGAAUAUUGGACAAUGGGGGAAACCCUGAUCCAGCGACGCCGCGUGGGUGAAGAA